rnacentral:rRNA from 1 species
CCUGUAUGAAGCCGGAAUUGCUAGUAAUGGCAGGUCAGCAUACUGCCGUGAAUACGUUCCCGGGCCUUGUACACACCGCCCGUCACACCAUGAGAGUUGGGGAUACCCAAAGCCCGUGAGCCAACUUAUAAGAGGCAGCGGUCUAAGGUAGAAUCAAUGAUUGGGGUGAAGUCGUAACAAGGUACC